UAGUGAAACCUGGUCUGCCACAAGAUGAU
rnacentral:piRNA from 1 species